rnacentral:tRNA from 1 species
ACGAGCAUGAUGAAAUUUGGUAGACAUGCCAGACUUAGAAUCUGGUGAAUCCUUUCGUGAGGGUUCAAGUCCCUCUGCUCGUA